rnacentral:rRNA from 1 species
UACGUAGGCAGCAAGCGUUGUUCGGAAUUACUGGGCGUAAAGAGUGUGUAGGCGGUGCUCUAAGUUUGGUGUGAAAUCUCCCGGCUCAACUGGGAGGGUGCGCCGAAAACUGGAAUGCUUGAACAUGGGAGAGGAAAGCGGAAUUCCUGGUGUAGCGGUGAAAUGCGUAGAUAUCAGGAGGAACACCCAUGGCGAAGGCAGCAAACUGGUCCGUAUCUGACGCUGAGGCGCGAAAGCGUGGGUAGCAAACAGG